GGUAAUUUAAUCUUAUAAUCAAAAUAAAUGGAUCAAAAAAAUAUAUAUAAAUAUACAAAAACAAAGAGGAGUUAAAUUUUAUCCUCCCAUCACCCCAACAAAACAGCUACCCCCAUUUAACGUAACAAAACAAACAAAAAAUAAAUGAGAAACCUGUCAAACUCUAUAGGGUCUUCUCGUCCCAUAAAAACAUUUAAGAAUUUUAACUCAAAAACCAAAUUCAAUAACCAAUACCUCUAAGACAGCUUAUGUCUCGUCAAGCCAUUCAUACCAGAUCACAAUUAAAGAACUAAUGAUUAUGCUACCUUUGCACGGUCAAAAUACCGCGGCCCUUCAACUCAACGUCAGUGGGCAGGCCAUACUUCAAAAACUAACAAGAAAAGAUGUUUUUGUUAAACAGGCGGACAUAAAAACUUUGCCGAAUUCCUCAAAAGCAAUUAACAUUUACCACCAAACAAAACAAUCAAUAAAAUUUACUAAUUACACAAUAAUUACUAUACAAACCAAAAGUAAAGAAAACAUUUCAAUAAAUAACUUAAAUAACAAAAAAUUAAAAAAAUAACAAAUAAAAUUUUAACAUAAUCAAAUAGAAAAUCACCAUAAAAUCCACCAAACUAAAUUAAACAACAACCAAUUAUAAAAAUAAAAUAAGGAGCUAAUCCCCCUUAAUCUUAACAUCAAAUAAAAAUAAAUAAAUCAACAACAGAAAUUAAAUAAGAUGUAUGAAUUAAA
rnacentral:rRNA from 1 species